CUCAUUAAAUCAGUUAUAGUUUAUUUGAUGGUCUCUUUUGUCCUUUUUUACCUACUUGGAUAACCGUGGUAAUUCUAGAGCUAAUACAUGCGCAAGGUCCCGAGCGCGGGGGGGCGGGGCUUCACGGCCUCGUCCUCGCAUGCGCAGAGGGAUGUAUUUAUUAGGUUAAAAACCAGCAGCCGGCAACGGCUUCAACUCCUGGUGAUUCAUAGUAACUCUUUCGGAUCGCAUUCAUG
rnacentral:rRNA from 1 species